rnacentral:lncRNA from 1 species
AAGGAAAGCAGUCCCUGACAAUCUGACUUGAUAUAUAGGGUAUAAUUUUCCAUUGUUAGAUUUUAUGACCCCCAUCUACACUUUAGAAUUCUUAAUUUCUUCCAACAAAACUGCCACAGGAUGUCCAGUCCAGUACUUGUCAUGGAUCUAAGAUCUUCAACCCAAACCUGACUAUUAGAGAUGUAUGAAGACAUCAAAUUACUGUCUUGCUAAUAUUUAUUUGGAAAUUUCCUCCUUUCUUUGGCUUUCAUAUUAUAUUUCAUGACAAUCUAGGCACUAAACAGCCAGUCACUGAAAUUCACAGUGAGACCCCUGUUGUGCAGGGUUUGAAGCAUUGUUCACACGUCACCACAGAAGUUUUAGAUUUUUGUAUUUUGCAGGACUAGUCAAGACACCUCUACAAUGUGGCAGAAGGAUACAAUUAUAUUGAAAAUGCCUAUGAGUAAAGAUGUAUAUGAAUACUAAUGCAGGGUGCUCCAGAAGCAGGAGGGGUAUCAGAAGGAAAACCUGGACAGAAUUAGACAAACACAGAAAAAGGCCUGAAGAUAAUUUACAAGGAAUAUUGAAAAGUAGAAACUGCCACUACAGAAAAGGAGUACCUGUUCCU